UACGUAGGGUGCAAGCGUUAAUCGGAAUUACUGGGCGUAAAGCGUGCGCAGGCGGCUUUGCAAGACAGAUGUGAAAUCCCCGGGCUUAACCUGGGAACUGCAUUUGUGACUGCAUGGCUGGAGUGCGGCAGAGGGGGAUGGAAUUCCGCGUGUAGCCGUGAAAUGCGUAGAUAUGCGGAGGAACCCCGAUGGCGAAGGCAAUCCCCUGGGCCUGCACUGACGCUCAUGCACGAAAGCGUGGGGAGCAAGCAGG
rnacentral:rRNA from 1 species